rnacentral:rRNA from 1 species
AUGAAUGCUGGCGGCGUGCCUAAUACAUGCAAGUCGAGCGGUAACAGGUCUAGUUUACUAGAUGCUGACGAGCGGCGGACGGCUGAGUAACGCGUGGGAACAUGCCCCAAAGUGAGGGAUAAGCAUCGGAAACGGUGUCUAAUACCGCAUAUGGUCUUCGGAUUAAAGGAUUUAUCCGCUUUGGGAGUGGCCCGCGUACGAUUAGGUAGUUGGUGAGGUAAUGGCUCGCCAAGCCUACGAUCGUUAACUGGUCUGAGAGGAUGAUCAGUCAGACUGGAACUGAGACACGGUCCAGACUCCUACGGGAGGCAGCAGUAAGGAAUCUUCCACAAUGGGCGAAAGCCUGAUGGAGCAACGCCGCGUGCAGGAUGAAGGCCUUCGGGUCGUAAACUGCUUUUAUGAGUGAAGAAUAUGACGGUAACUCAUGAAUAAGCACCGGCUAACUACGU